CGUAUCACCCAAGACAACUUUACACAGUUGACGACUGACGGAGCGAAGCGACGUCAAAGCGUUUUACAACGUCGAGUUGGCUUAGGGAUACGUUCGUUGGGUAGGGGAGCGUUCUGUAAGCCGUUGAAGGUGUGUCGUGAGGCAUGCUGGAGGUAUCAGAAGUGCGAAUGCUGACAUAAGUAACGAUAAAGCGGGUGAAAAGCCCGCUCGCCGGAAGACCAAGGGUUCCUGUCCAACGUUAAUCGGGGCAGGGUGAGUCGACCCCUAAGGCGAGGCCGAAAGGCGUAGUCGAUGGGAAACGGGUUAAUAUUCCCGUACUUGGUGUUACUGCGAAGGGGGGACGGAGAAGGCUAUGUUGGCCGGGCGACGGUUGUCCCGGUUUAAGCGUGCAGGUGUGUGUUCCAGGUAAAUCCGGUUCACUUUAACACUGAGGCGUGAUGACGAGGCACCACGGUGCUGAAGCAACAAAUGCCCUGCUUCCAGGAAAAGCCUCUAAGCCUCAGGUAACAUCAAAUCGUACCCCAAACCGACACAGGUGGUCAGGUAGAGAAUACCAAGGCGCUUGAGAGAACUCGGGUGAAGGAACUAGGCAAAAUGGUGCCGUAACUUCGGGAGAAGGCACGCUGACACGUAGGUGAAGUGGUUUACCCAUGGAGCUGAAGUCAGUCGAAGAUACCAGCUGGCUGCAACUGUUUAUUAAAAACACAGCACUGUGCAAACACGAAAGUGGACGUAUACGGUGUGACGCCUGCCCGGUGCCGGAAGGUUAAUUGAUGGGGUCAGCGCAAGCGAAGCUCCUGAUCGAAGCCCCGGUAAACGGCGGCCGUAACUAUAACGGUCCUAAGGUAGCGAAAUUCCUUGUCGGGUAAGUUCCGACCUGCACGAAUGGCGUAAUGAUGGCCAGGCUGUCUCCACCCGGGACUCAGUGAAAUUGAACUCGCUGUGAAGAUGCAGUGUACCCGCGGCAAGACGGAAAGACCCCGUGAACCUUUACUAUAGCUUGACACUGAACACUGGUCCUUGAUGUGCAGGAUAGGUGGGAGGCUUUGAAGUGUGGACGCCAGUCUGCAUGGAGCCAUCCUUGAAAUACCACCCUUUAAUGGCUGGUGUUCUAACGUGGGCCCGUGAACCGGGUUGCGGACAGUGUCUGGUGGGUAGUUUGACUGGGGCGGUCUCCUCCUAAAGAGUAACGGAGGAGCACGAAGGUUGGCUAAUCCUGGUCGGACAUCAGGAGGUUAGUGCAAUGGCAUAAGCCAGCUUGACUGCGAGCGUGACGGCGCGAGCAGGUGCGAAAGCAGGUCAUAGUGAUCCGGUGGUUCUGAAUGGAAGGGCCAUCGCUCAACGGAUAAAAGGUACUCCGGGGAUAACAGGCUGAUACCGCCCAAGAGUUCAUAUCGACGGCGGUGUUUGGCACCUCGAUGUCGGCUCAUCACAUCCUGGGGCUGAAGUAGGUCCCAAGGGUAUGGCUGUUCGCCAUUUAAAGUGGUACGCGAGCUGGGUUUAGAACGUCGUGAGACAGUUCGGUCCCUAUCUGCCGUGGGCGCUGGAAGAUUGAGGGGGGCUGCUCCUAGUACGAGAGGACCGGAGUGGACGCAUCACUGGUGUU
rnacentral:rRNA from 1 species